rnacentral:rRNA from 1 species
GCCGCGUGACGAUGAAGCAUUUCGGUGUGUAAAGUUCUUUUCUAUUGGACCAGUGCUGUUUAUAUGAACAGUAUGAGAGGAGAGAUAUUACAGUAGGAAUAAGCCACGGCUAACUCCGUGCCAGCAGCCGCGGUAAUACGGGGGUGGCAAGCGUUGUCCGGAAUUACUAGGCGUAAAGGGCAGGUAGGCGGUUAUGUAAGUUAAUUGUUAAAGGCCCAUGCUCACCAUGGGUAAGGCAGUUGAUACUGUAUAACUGGAAGCGAGUGGGGGAAGACGGAAUUCCAGGUGUAGCGGUGGAAUGCGCAGAUAUCAGGAGGAACACCUAAGGCGAAGGCAGUCUUCUACGCUUUGCUUGACGCUAAACUGCGAAGGUGCGGGUAUCAAACAGGAUUAGAUACCCUGGUAGUCCGCACAGUAAACGAUAAUCACUAGGUGUCGGUGGGAUAGACCUGUCGGUGCCGUAGCUAACGCGAUAAGUGAUUCGCCCUGGGCGAGUACGAUCGCAUGGUUGAAACUUCACAGGAAUU